rnacentral:rRNA from 1 species
CCAGACUCCUACGGGAGGCAGCAGUGAGGAAUAUUGGUCAAUGGGCGCGAGCCUGAACCAGCCAAGUAGCGUGAAGGAUGACUGCCCUACGGGUUGUAAACUUCUUUUAUAAAGGAAUAAAGUGAGGCACGUGUGCCUUUUUGUAUGUACUUUAUGAAUAAGGAUCGGCUAACUCCGUGCCAGCAGCCGCGGUAAUACGGAGGAUGCGAGCGUUAUCCGGAUUUAUUGGGUUUAAAGGGUGCGUAGGCGGGCUGUUAAGUCAGGGGUCAAAUGUCGGGGCUCAACCCCGGCCUGCCGUUGAAACUGGCGGCCUCGAGUGGGCGAGAAGUAUGCGGAAUGCGUGGUGUAGCGGUGAAAUGCUUAGAGAUCAUACAGAACACCGAUUGCGAAGGCAGCUUACCAAGCUACUUCUGACGUUGAGGCACGAAAGCGUGGGGAGCAAACAGGAUUAGAUACCCCUGUAU